UACGUAGGGGGCGAGCGUUGUCCGGAGUUACUGGGCGUAAAGCGCACGCAGGCGGUCUGUUAAGUUUGGAGUGACAGUUGGUGGCUUAACUGCCAAAGUGCUUCGAAAACUGACAGACUUGAGGGCUUCAGAGGGACACGGAAUUCCGGGUGGAGUGGUGAAAUGCGUAGAGAUCCGGAGGAACACCAAAGGCGAAGGCAGUGUCCUGGGGAGUACCUGACGCUGAGGAGCGAAAGCGUGGGGAGCGAACAGG
rnacentral:rRNA from 1 species